UACGGGGGGGGCAAGCGUUGUUCGGAAUUACUGGGCGUAAAGGCGCGUAGGCGGCCUGUUAAGUCGAACGUGAAAUCCCCGGGCUCAACCCGGGAACUGCGUCCGAUACUGGUGGGCUUGAAUCCGGGAGAGGGAUGCGGAAUUCCAGGUGUAGCGGUGAAAUGCGUAGAUAGUCUGGAGGAACACCGGUGGCGAAGGCGGCAUCCUGGACCGGUAUUGACGCUGAGGCGCGAAAGCUAGGGGAGC
rnacentral:rRNA from 1 species